CAGUCGUACCUUCGGGUAAUCAGCCUUUCGGGUGCGAUUCUGUGGGGUUUGAGGAGCUUAACACCUUCAUGCUUUGCAUAUUCGUGCUCUUGGGUGUACUUGCCCGUGUGGUUGGUUAACAUCAAUUUUGGUGGUCAUAAAAUGACUGGAGGAAUGUAGCUUCGAUCUUGUAUUGAAGUGUUAUAGCCUUCGGUAGAUGUGAUGAUCGAGAUUGAGGAUUGCAACGGAUACCCUUCGGGGCUACCUGUCUGAUCUCUGAUCGUUGCUCUGGUGCCGAAAGCUUGCUUACGGUUAUCAAAGUCGAUGGUCAAUAGGUUAGAACGGGUUAAAUUCGUUAAGGAUGUUGACGUA
rnacentral:rRNA from 1 species